rnacentral:rRNA from 1 species
UACGGGGGGUGCAAGCGUUGUUCGGAAUUACUGGGCGUAAAGGGGUCGUAGGUGGCCUACUAAGUCAUACGUGAAAUCCCUCAGCUUAACUGGGGAACUGCGUCUGAGACUGGAAGGCUUGAGUGCAGGAGAGGAACGCGGAAUUCCAGGUGUAGCGGUGAAAUGCGUAGAUAUCUGGAGGAACACCGGUGGCGAAGGCGGCCUUCUGGACAGUGACUGACGCUGAGACGCGAAAGCGUGGGGAGCAAACAGG